GCCGUUGUAGCUCAACUGGUAGAGCAACUGACUUGUAAUCAGUAGGUUGGGGGUUCAAGUCCUCUCGACGGCACCA
rnacentral:tRNA from 75 species